GAUGAACGCUGGCGGCGUGCCUAAUACAUGCAAGUCGAGCGAACGGACGAGAAGCUUGCUUCUCUGAUGUUAGCGGCGGACGGGUGAGUAACACGUGGUUAACCUACCUAUAAGACUGGGAUAACUUCGGGAAACCGGAGCUAAUACCGGAUAAUAUUUUGAACCGCAUGGUUCAAAAGUGAAAGACGGUCUUGCUGUCACUUAUAGAUGGAUCCGCGCUGCAUUAGCUAGUUGGUAAGGUAACGGCUUACCAAGGCAACGAUGCAUAGCCGACCUGAGAGGGUGAUCGGCCACACUGGAACUGAGACACGGUCCAGACUCCUACGGGAGGCAGCAGUAGGGAAUCUUCCGCAAUGGGCGAAAGCCUGACGGAGCAACGCCGCGUGAGUGAUGAAGGUCUUCGGAUCGUAAAACUCUGUUAUUAGGGAAGAACAUAUGUGUAAGUAACUGUGCACAUCUUGACGGUACCUAAUCAGAAAGCCACGGCUAACUACGUGCCAGCAGCCGCGGUAAUACGUAGGUGGCAAGCGUUAUCCGGAAUUAUUGGGCGUAAAGCGCGCGUAGGCGGUUUUUUAAGUCUGAUGUGAAAGCCCACGGCUCAACCGUGGAGGGUCAUUGGAAACUGGAAAACUUGAGUGCAGAAGAGGAAAGUGGAAUUCCAUGUGUAGCGGUGAAAUGCGCAGAGAUAUGGAGGAACACCAGUGGCGAAGGCGACUUUCUGGUCUGUAACUGACGCUGAUGUGCGAAAGCGUGGGGAUCAAACAGGAUUAGAUACCCUGGUAGUCCACGCCGUAAACGAUGAGUGCUAAGUGUUAGGGGGUUUCCGCCCCUUAGUGCUGCAGCUAACGCAUUAAGCACUCCGCCUGGGGAGUACGACCGCAAGGUUGAAACUCAAAGGAAUUGACGGGGACCCGCACAAGCGGUGGAGCAUGUGGUUUAAUUCGAAGCAACGCGAAGAACCUUACCAAAUCUUGACAUCCUUUGACAACUCUAGAGAUAGAGCUUUCCCCUUCGGGGGACAAAGUGACAGGUGGUGCAUGGUUGUCGUCAGCUCGUGUCGUGAGAUGUUGGGUUAAGUCCCGCAACGAGCGCAACCCUUAAGCUUAGUUGCCAUCAUUAAGUUGGGCACUCUAAGUUGACUGCCGGUGACAAACCGGAGGAAGGUGGGGAUGACGUCAAAUCAUCAUGCCCCUUAUGAUUUGGGCUACACACGUGCUACAAUGGACAAUACAAAGGGCAGCGAAACCGCGAGGUCAAGCAAAUCCCAUAAAGUUGUUCUCAGUUCGGAUUGUAGUCUGCAACUCGACUACAUGAAGCUGGAAUCGCUAGUAAUCGUAGAUCAGCAUGCUACGGUGAAUACGUUCCCGGGUCU
rnacentral:rRNA from 1 species